GGAGAGGUGGCUCGAGUGGUUGAAGGCGGCUGUCUUGAAAACAGCUAAGGGGGAAACUCCUUCGAGGGUUCGAAUCCCUCCCUCUCCG
rnacentral:tRNA from 2 species